rnacentral:rRNA from 1 species
GCGGUAAUACCCGCAGCCCGAGUGGUGAACACUUUUAUUGGGCCUAAAGCGUCCGUAGCCGGUCUGGUAAAUCCUUGGGUAAAUCGUACGGCCUAACCGUACGAACUCUGGGGAGACUGUCAGACUUGGGACCGGGAGAGGUUAGAGGUACUCCGGGGGUAGGGGUGAAAUCCUGUAAUCCUUG